UACAGAGGUCUCAAGCGUUGUUCGGAUUCAUUGGGCGUAAAGGGUGCGUAGGUGGCGCCGUAAGUCGGUGGUGAAAGCUCUUCGCUUAACGGAGAGACUGCCAUCGAUACUGUUUGUCUUGAGUUCGAGAGAGGAUGAUGGAAUUCAUGGUGUAGCGGUGAAAUGCGUAGAGAUCAUGAAGAACACCGGUAGCGAAGGCGGUCAUCUGGCUCGAUACUGACGCUCAGGGACGAAAGCGUGGGUAGCAAACAGG
rnacentral:rRNA from 1 species